rnacentral:rRNA from 1 species
UGGGGAAUUUUGGACAAUGGGCGAAAGCCUGAUCCAGCAAUGCCGCGUGUGUGAAGAAGGCCUUCGGGUUGUAAAGCACUUUUGUCCGGAAAGAAAUCCUUGGCUCUAAUACAGUCGGGGGAUGACGGUACCGGAAGAAUAAGCACCGGCUAACUACGUGCCAGCAGCCGCGGUAAUACGUAGGGUGCAAGCGUUAAUCGGAAUUACUGGGCGUAAAGCGUGCGCAGGCGGUUUGCUAAGACCGAUGUGAAAUCCCCGGGCUCAACCUGGGAACUGCAUUGGUGACUGGCAGGCUAGAGUAUGGCAGAGGGGGGUAGAAUUCCACGUGUAGCAGUGAAAUGCGUAGAGAUGUGGAGGAAUACCGAUGGCGAAGGCAGCCCCCUGGGCCAAUACUGACGCUCAUGCACGAAAGCGUGGGGAGCAAACAGGAUUAGAUACCCUGGUAGUCCACGCCCUAAACGAUGUCAACAGUUGUUGGGGAUUCAUUUCCUUAGUAACGUAGCUAACGCGUGAAGUUGACCGCCUGGGGAUACGGUCGCAAGAUUAAAACUCAAAGGAAUUGACGGGGUCAUAGCUGUUUCCU